UUGUGAUGAAAUCAUUGAGUUCAACUUAUCUUAGAAUAGGGGAGCUUAACUUAAUCUGAACACUCAAGCUAAGAGCCUCGAUUCUUCGAUAAUGCGACUAACAGCAACUAAUUUAACUG
rnacentral:precursor_RNA from 15 species